rnacentral:lncRNA from 1 species
AAUAGGAGAUGCUUCUGCGCCCGCCAGCGGAGGCGCCGAUGCCGACGACGUCGUCGUCAUCGACGUGUGGGGAUGGCGAAGGAUGCGCAGGCGACCGCGGCAGCUUCCCCCACCCAGGGCACCUCGCCAUCGCUGUACCGGUGAAUGUAUUUCCCCUCUCUGACGACGGGAGAGAAGAAGAAGAAGAAGAACCGAUCGGUGCCUAGGAUGGAAGGGCACGCGAUCCCUUGUCGUCUUCUUUGCCCCUUUGCCUUUUUGUUGCCGACUCCCGUGGUGUAACAGAAACAAGAUUCCUGCAGGGAAACGAGGCGGGGAAGCUAGCCUCCGUUGCGGUGCGCUUGAUCCACGCCGCAGAUCGGUGGUAGCACGGAUCAUUACGAUGACUCCCCUUGCGGUGGACGGUCCUCAUGGCUCCAGUUUCCGUCCGUCCGCCCGUCCUCUGUUUCCGUCAUUGGCAGGUGAUGAACUACGGAUGGGAUCAGCGGAUGCGGUUGGAUUCGAACCUGAACCUAAACAAUAACUGGUGAAGCCUGAAGGGGCCGUUCAAGCGGGCAGGUCUGACCCAACCCGGACCAGAAUCCCCCUUUCGCAAAACACUCCUUUUUAGGGCGACGCAUCUUUUCCUUUCCCUCCCUUAUAUCUCAUCAUUUCCGCGGUCGAAUUCCUUGGCAGCUGCUUGGCCGACGGUUGCGGGGACAGUUCGACGCCGUCGCCGAACCGGCGUAAAUGGCAUAUUUAAUGGGAUCUCAAUCUCCAUCGACGGAUUCAAUUUCUUUCCGCUCCGGUCAGGUGCUUUGUUUCUUUCUGGUUUUUGAUCCCCUAGUAGCAUUAGAUCGAUCGGACGGAUUUCAAUUUGCAGUCACAUACAAUUGCCUGUCUCUUUACUUGACAUGGUUUUUCGUAUAGAAAAAAUAUUGCUUUGAGAGAUAAUGGAUAGGACUUAUUUCUACUAUAUCGUUCGGCUUCUUUGUCGUCGAACCUGUUUUCUGCGAAACCGUUUCUGAAAAUGACGGAUAAUACCCGCAACCUAACUGUGUUUAUACGAUCAUUAAGAUAAGUUUGUUCUUAUCUGCUAUCACUUGAUUUGAAUUCACUGAUGGUCGUUGCGAUGUAUCACCAGGAUCGCGUCAAGACGGUUCCGUUUCCUCCAUCACUUCCAGUCGAAUCAAUCAAUCCUGAAGGCGACUUCUUGGCGGCCUAACACUCGUUCACUACACGGGAACAAUCAAUUUGCUGUUGGUUCACUACGUAACUUAAUUUUCGGCAGAUGGACAGAUAAUACUCCAAAUUUCAACGAAGCUUUUUUUCCCUUUUCUUUCGUUUCCACCAAUCUCAUCUCACGCCUGUCUGUACA